ACUCAGGGCACGGAUUAAGCCAGGGCAUGUUGGCCUAAAGCGAAACCUGAAGAUAUCCUUCUAUUUGGGAGCCUGCCUGGCUGUAAAUCUCCUGGAACCUCUCAGAUUAGUACUUCAAAUAUGCAGAAUUUCAUUACGGAGGAAAUUUGCAACACCCUGGUCCUGAUGCAAGUAUGUGACAGCAUGAGAAAACAGUAAUCUUCACCAUGGCUGGCUGCACUGCACAAUUCCCUUUUCCCCCACGGCCAAGAUCUACACACAUUUCCCAAGGUAUUUUAAAGAUGGGCUGGCUCUGCACAGCACUCAGGUGCAGUCAAUGCCCAAACUGUAUUAGAUCUCAGGAAGCUUCAUCCCAAACCGAACAAGAGCAAGCAUACCCAAGUCUUGGAUACAGUACAGAUGGACAGGCCUGUGUGGCACAGGCAAAUGCUUUCCUUGGCUGAAAUCAGAAAAGCAAUGGAAAACGAUAGGCUUGAAUUACUAGAAAAUGUAAAUAUACUGAAGAAAAAGCUCAGAUGUCUAUGCCUUUGGCUUGUUUGCUUUAAACAUGUUUCUUAAUUUCUUCUUUCUCAAGCACACAUUUCUUUUCCCUUAUUGACAAUGGUUCUGCCUUUCCUUUCUUUUCCCUAUCUGCCAUUGCCAAACAUUGCUGCUAACUGGCACCAGAAAAGCAAGAGCAGGGAGGAACAAAGGAGCUACUGUCAAACAAAGCAAGCACAAAUAGAUGGAGUUUUCCUGUGCUACUUCUAAAAACUACACAAAAAACCUCUUUCUCUUCCAAAAGAAACCAUUUUAUAAUGAAUCAUUCAUUCCACAGGGCUUUUGUUCAGCUGAUGAACACGUGUAAGGCGCAUUUACAUCAGUGCAGGUGCUGUAAGACGAGGGUAUAUCACAACACACAGAAAACAUGUCAGUUCUGGAAUGUUGCACAGAUUGCAGCAUCUACCUUGCUAUGAAAUUACUUGCAACUGUAGUUUCAACCUUCCCUUUCAGCAACAGAUCUUAUUCAUUGGUCAUUAUAAUGCAGAGCUUUCCAUAUCAACAAGCAUCAUUCCAAUAGCUUUUAUGGCUCUGAACCAACCCCUGAUUGUGCCCAGUGUGCGUUGAUGACACUAAGAGAGCUCCCUCUCUAUCAGCCUGAACAUAUUCCUCUUGAGAAGAAAAAUCACACUGCUUAAUAGGCUUUAGGGAAGAGCAUGUGCUGUCUCAUGUGCUUUUCCAGCAGGUCCCACUGAAACUGGAUUAAAUCCUGAAGGGUGGUUUCUCAGGAAGCAGCUAGCAAGAAAGUCCUGGCUUUACUGUGAGACAUCACAGGUGAGAAUGGUCAACAGUGACUGAAGUCCAGGGUCGAUCUCUCAUCCAUGGUUAGGCCCUACCCCCUUGAAAGAGUUUCCUUCCUCUUAAAGCUAGUUUGCUCCACACGCAUUAGUAGGGGCUGCACCUUCAAGGGCAGCCACUGUGGGUUCAGGUGCCAUAGGCAGCAUGGUGAUAUCAUGGAACCAUAGAAUUGUUUGAGUUGGAAGGGACCCUUAAAGAUUGCAACUCUCUGCAAUGAACAGGGACAUCUACAGCUAGAUCAGUGUGCUCAGAGGCCCAUCUAGCCUGACGGUGAGUGUCUCCAAGGACAGAGCAUUCACCACCUCUUCACCAUCCUUGCAAUAAUCCCAGUACAGAGAGAAAGGCUACAGAAAACCCAGCCAGUAGAAUCACAGUAUCAUAGAAACACAGAAUGGCUUUGGCUGUGAAGGACUUUAAAGAUCAGCCCACAUCAUCCCUGCUGUGGGCAGGGCUGCCCCCGACCAGCUCAGGCUGCCC